UUUGGAUUGAACUUGAGAGUUUGAUCCUGGCUCAGAACGAACGCUGGCGGCAGGCCUAACACAUGCAAGUCGAGCGCCCUGUUUAGGCAGGGAGCGGCGGACGGGUGAGUAACGCGUGGGAACGUGCCCUUUAGUUCAGGAUAGCCACUGGAAACGGUGAGUAAUACUGGAUACGCCCUUCGGGGGAAAGAUUUAUCGCUAAAGGAUCGGCCCGCGUUGGAUUAGCUAGUUGGUGGGGUAAAGGCCUACCAAGGCAACGAUCUAUAGCUGGUCUGAGAGGAUGAUCAGCCACACUGGGACUGAGACACGGCCCAGACUCCUACGGGA
rnacentral:rRNA from 1 species